rnacentral:rRNA from 1 species
AGAGUUUGAUCCUGGCUCAGGAUGAACGCUGGCGGCGUGCCUAAUACAUGUAAGUCGAACGAGGAAGGUAGUGAUACAGUCCGAGUGGCGAACGGGUGAGUAACGCGUGGGUGACCUGCCCCGAAGCGGGGGAUAACAGUUCGAAAGGGCUGCUAAUACCCCAUGAGGACCUGUGAGUUAGAGAAGCAGGUCGAAAGCCUAGCUCGAGAGAGCCAAGCGCUUUGGGAGGGACCUGCGACCCAUCAGCUAGUAGGUAGGGUAACGGCCUACCCAGGCGACGACGGGUAGGGGGCCUGAGAGGGUGGCCCCCCACACUGGCACUGAAACACGGGCCAGACACCUACGGGUGGCAGCAGUAGGGAAUAUUGCACAAUGGGCGCAAGCCUGAUGCAGCAACGCCGCGUGCGCGAUGAAGGCCUUCGGGUCGUAAAGCGCUUUUCUGGAGGAGGAGGAAGGACCGUACUCCAGGAAGAAGUCUCGGCUAACUACGUGCCAGCAGCCGCGGUAAAACGUAGGAGACAAGCGUUAUCCGAAUUUACUGGGCGUAAAGCGCGUGCAGGUGGUUGGGUAAGUUGAAUGUGAAAUCUCCUGGCUCAACUGGGAGAGGCUGUUCAAGACUGCCUGGCUAGAGGGCGGUAGAGGGAGGUGGAAUUCCCGGUGUAGUGGUGAAAUGCGUAGAUAUCGGGAGGAACACCUGUGGCGAAAGCGGCCUCCUGGACCGCACCUGACGCUCANACNCGAAAGCUAGGGGAGUGAACNGGGAUUAGAAACCCCGGUAANCCUAGCCGUAAACNAUGUGGACUGGGUGUCNGUGGGGUAAAAGCCAUCGGUGGCCNAANNCCANCNCGAUAAGUUCNNCGNCNNGGGGGACUACGGCCGCAAGGUUAAAACUCAAAGGAAUUGACGGGGGCCCGCACAAGCAGUGGAGCAUGUGGUUCAAUUCGAUGCAACGCGAAGAACCUUACCCGGAUUUGAAAAGCCAGUGACAACCGAUGAAAGUCGGUCUCGUAGCAAUACGCACUGGUACAGGUGCUGCAUGGCUGUCGUCAGCUCGUGCCGUGAGGUGUUAGGUUAAGUCCUGCAACGAGCGCAACCCCUACAUUUAGUUGCCAUCAGGUCAAGCUGGGCACUCUAAAUGGACUGCCUACGCAAGUAGUGAGGAAGGUGGGGAUGACGUCAAGUCCUCAUGGCCCUUACAUCCGGGGCCACACACGUGCUACAAUGGACAUUACAAAGGGUUGCAGAGCCGCGAGGUGAAGCUAAUCCCAAAAAAAUGUUCUCAGUUCGGAUUGGAGUCUGCAACUCGACUCCAUGAAGCUGGAAUUGCUAGUAAUCGCAGAUCAGCACGCUGCGGUGAAUACGUUCCCGGGCCUUGUACACACCGCCCGUCAAGCCAUGGAAGCUGGGGGUACCCGAAACCGGUGCGCGAACCGCAAGGACGCAGCCGACUAAGGUAAAACCAGUGACUGGGGCUAAGUCGUAACAAGGUAACC